rnacentral:lncRNA from 1 species
CUAGAUUUCAAGACGAUCAGUGGUCAUUGGGCCGAAAUACAGUCAAUCAAUGAAGCACUGGCCAUAUCAUUGGUGCGCAAUGAGGUCGGAGGUUGGUGUGUUCAAAUCAGUUCCUUUCGGUCAAUAGGUCCCGGGAAAGAACAAUCAAGUUUGGCUGUGCUACUAACAAACAGAGUAUUGCAAUGAAACCAACCAUGACUCGAUAAACACAAGUUUAGAGUGAGAAGUUACGUCCAAAAGUUGAAGGACACCGAAUUCACGACAGAAGCCAUUUACAAAAUGUUUCGUGUUAGGUUAUAAAAAUAGAUUUUAUCGAACAAAACAACCAUUUAUUGUUUCGUCAUGACCUUCUGUAUUGCCAAAGAAGAAGAUUUUCAAAGGGACCCUGUCAUAACCUGACAUGAUUCUCUUCGGAUAUUAAAUGCUUCGGACACUGUAAUGUUGGUGUGGUAACCAUCCCGCUGAUGCACAAUGAUGUCAUCAAGCAGCAGCCUGUGGACUUCUUGGAUCUCGAGAGGGCUUACAGCAACUUCGCCACAGACUUCAUCACCCAGUCUGCCAGGAAGAAAAAACCCUUCUUCCUCUACUACCCCUCCCAUAACCCAGUGAGAAGUACAGCCUGUUCGCUUUCAGGCUGGGCAAAUACAAGGCCCACUUCUACACACGUGGCCACAGUGAGACCACCCCAGACCAGGACUGUCACAUCUCCUUCCUGAAGCCCCAUGAUCCUCCCUUGCUGUUUGACCUGGUCUGACCCCAGUGAGAACUACUCCCUGUCCCUCCUGGGACGCCCUGACUUGCAGGCCCUGCUGCAGAGGACAGGGAUGGUUCGAAGUCUCCAUAGAGCUUGGGGAGAGACAGAUCGGGAAAAUCUAGAGCCCUGCCACUCCCUGCACUGCACCCCUAAAACUUUCUGCUGCCAGUGUGGCUGAUGCACCCUCAAAUGUACAGUGCUACUUGUACUAUACCUUUUGUAAGACUAGUUCUAGUUCUGUGGAUGAGGUAGCCCCAAAAUUAAUAUCUGAAAGUGUGGACAGACUGUUCUUUAAGCCAUAUGAGAGACUACUGUAUGUGGGAAGCAGCACUUGGAAAUGGUACAUCCAGUUCAACGAGUGUCUUAUCUACACGUUCUAAUUCUAUGGAUGAUGGCACCAUCAUGUGGACAAACCCUGCAUUCCAGUGACAACAAC